GGUUCCAUCGUGAAGGGUCUUGUUCGUCGUAAUUGGCUGUUUAAAAGCCUCGACGACCAUCCUGAUAUAUCACCACCACUGUUUCGAGUCC
rfam:Populus trichocarpa scaffold_18_contig_206, whole genome shotgun sequence.